GAUGAACGCUGGCGGCGUGCCUAAUACAUGCAAGUCGAGCGAACGGACGAGAAGCUUGCUUCUCUGACGUUAGCGGCGGACGGGUGAGUAACACGUAGAUAACCUACCUAUAAGACUGGGAUAACUUCGGGAAACCGGAGCUAAUACCGGAUAAUAUUUUGAACCGCAUGGUUCAAUAGUGAAAGACGGUCUUGCUGUCACUUAUAGAUGGAUCCGCGCUGCAUUAGCUAGUUGGUAAGGUAACGGCUUACCAAGGCAACGAUGCAUAGCCGACCUGAGAGGGUGAUCGGCCACACUGGAACUGAGACACGGUCCAGACUCCUACGGGAGGCAGCAGUAGGGAAUCUUCCGCAAUGGGCGAAAGCCUGACGGAGCAACGCCGCGUGAGUGAUGAAGGUCUUCGGAUCGUAAAACUCUGUUAUUAGGGAAGAACAUAUGUGUAAGUAACUGUGCACAUCUUGACGGUACCUAAUCAGAAAGCCACGGCUAACUACGUG
rnacentral:rRNA from 1 species